rnacentral:rRNA from 1 species
CGGGACUCUCACGAGGCCUCGUAAUCGGAAUGAGUACACUUUAAAUAUUUUAACGAGGAACAAUUGGAGGGCAAGUCUGGUGCCAGCAGCCGCGGUAAUUCCAGCUCCAAUAGCGUAUACUAAAUUUGUUGCGGUUAAAAAGCUCGUAGUUGCAUUUGUGCGCCGCGCUGUCGGUGCACCGCAUCCGCGGUGAUACUGACAUGUCUGCGGAGCAUAUCGUCGGUGAGCCGCCGGUAAAACGGCGGUUCAAUAUCAAAAUCCUAUCGCGGUGCUCUUCAGUGAGUGUCGAGGUGGGCCGGCAAUUUUACUUUGAACAAAUUAGAGUGCUCAAAGCGGGCUCAAAACGCUGCUUGAAUAUUUCGUGCAUGGAAUAAUAGAAUAUGAUCUCGGUUCUAUUUUGUUGGUUUUCAGAACUCCGAGGUAAUGAUUAAUAGGGAUAACUGGGGGCAUUCGUAUUGCGACGUUAGAGGUGAAAUUCUUGGAUCGUCGCAAGACGAACAUCAGCGAAAGCAUUUGCCAAAGGUGUUUUCAUCAAUCAAGAACGAAAGUUAGAGGUUCGAAGGCGAUUAGAUACCGCCCUAGUUCUAACCGUAAAUAUGUCAUCUAGCGAUCCGCCGACGUUAAUCAAAUGGCUCGGCGGGCAGCUUCCGGGAAACCAAAGAUUUUGGACUCCGGGGGGAGUAUGGUUGCAAAGCUGAAACUUAAAGGAA